rnacentral:rRNA from 1 species
UACGUAGGUGGCGAGCGUUGUCCGGAAUUACUGGGUGUAAAGGGCGUGUAGGCGGGAAUGCAAGUCAGAUGUGAAAUACCGUGGCUUAACCACGGGGCUGCAUCUGAAACUGUAUUUCUUGAGUGUCGGAGAGGAAAGUGGAAUUCCCAGUGUAGCGGUGAAAUGCGUAGAUAUUGGGAGGAACACCAGUGGCGAAGGCGACUUUCUGGACGAUAACUGACGCUGAGGCGCGAAAGCGUGGGGAGCAAACAGG